UUGAUGACCAGGUCUCUCAGACAACCCACAUAGCCCAGACCAAGUCUUCCUGUCCAGAGCUCAGGGGGCACCACCACACCUGUGUUUACCCCGCCUACGUAAAGUGCGCCAUCAAGAUCCAGGCGAUGAGACUCUCCUGAGGGUUGAUCCUGCCUGCCUGGCCAUCUCUGUUGAGAGUCACUUCAUGCCACCAGCCAUCAUCCACCCUCCUAUUGGUGGCUUUGACUCGUCGGAUCCUGACCCAAGGUUUAGGUGCAAGUACAAGUGACCCUCCAGCAACUCCAAUGCAAAGAAAUCACCCUGGCAAUGAAAAUUUUUUAAUUAGCAAAUGCUUCAGAGCUAAGAAAAUUGUUAAUGUGAAUGCUUCAAAGCUAAGGAAAUUUAUACAUAAAAUCAAUAAAUAAACAAAAUAUA